CCUACGGGUGGCAGCAGUGGGGAAUAUUGGGCAAUGGAGGAAACUCUGACCCAGCAACGCCGCGUGAAGGAUGAAGGUUUUCGGAUUUUAAACUCCUGUCGCGAGGGAUGAAGAAUGACGGUACCUUGUAAGAAAGCCCCGGCAAACUACGUGCCAGCAGCCGUGGUAAGACGUAGGGGGCGAGCGUUGUCCGGAAUGACUGGGCGUAAAGGGAGUGUAGGGGGCAUAUUAAGUUAUGUGUGAAAGCCCGCGGCUCAACCGCGGAAUUGCAGAUGAAACUGGUAAGCUGGAGUGGGGGAGAGGUAAGUGGAAUUCCCGGUGUAGCGGUGGAAUGCGUAGAUAUCGGGAGGAACACCAGAGGCGAAGGCGACUUACUGGACUGUAACUGACGCUGAGGCACGAAAGCGUGGGGAGCAAACAGGAUUAGAUACCCUUGUAGUC
rnacentral:rRNA from 1 species